rnacentral:snRNA from 1 species
AUGCUUGCUUCAGCAGCACAUACACUAAAAUUGAAAUGAUACAGAGAAGAUAAGCAUGGCCUCUAUGCAAGGAUGACAUGCAAAUUCAAGUACAUAUUUCACUUGUAU